rnacentral:lncRNA from 1 species
UUUCACCGUUUCCAUUUUUGCGUUUCUGAUGUUUUCACCAUCUCUUUUUGCUCAAUAUAAUCAUCAUGAAUCGCUUGAUGUUGAUUUGACUCGUUUCUUAUGUGUUCUGAUCAUCAUUGGAAUCUGCUCAGCUGCUCAAAGCGGGCGAGGUCAGAAAUGCUGCCCUUCUUUUUGCUUUUCAAUCCUUCCCUUUAGCCUCUUGCUCCUGCUGCGCGAAAAAGGUUUGUAGUGUUUCUGCCUUGUAACCGCCCUCUAAUCUGAUCCUUUGUAGCAGAUAGCUGCACAGCCUGCAGCUUUUCAGGGUUCCCGCCCGCAAAGACCAUGCCGUUUGGUUUCUCUUUGCUCGUUUUGUUUCUUGGCGCUC